rnacentral:rRNA from 1 species
CCUACGGGUGGCUGCAGUGGGGAAUAUUGGGCAAUGGGCGCAAGCCUGACCCAGCAACGCCGCGUGAAGGAAGAAGGCUUUCGGGUUGUAAACUUCUUUUCUCAGGGACGAAGCAAGUGACGGUACCUGAGUAAUAAGCCACGGCUAACUACGUGCCAGCAGCCGCGGUAAUACGUAGGUGGCAAGCGUUAUCCGGAUUUACUGGGUGUAAAGGGCGUGUUGGCGGGACUGCAAGUCGGAUGUGAAAACCAUGGGCUCAACCUAUGGCCUGCAUUUGAAACUGUAGGUCUUGAGUACUGGAGAGGCAGGCAGAAUUCCUGGUGUAGCGGUGAAAUGCGUAGAUAUUAGGAGGAACACCAGUGGCGAAGGCGGUCCGCUGGACUGCGACUGACGUUGAGGUGCGAAAGCGUGGGGAGCAAACAGGAUUAGAUACCCGGGUAGUC